CUCGAACGGAAUGCAGUUCUAGUAUCUUCUUCCUCAACUCGGCCGCCAUUUUUGGUAACUGACGAAGGAGAGAGAUAGUGAGGGAGAACAGGUGGCCGACGCGCAGAAUGGAGUUCCUCGUGUAGCCAAUCAUGAGAUCCACUCUGAUUGAGGAGGUCGGAAGAUUCGCCGGCGGAUGGAACUAGGCGAACGUCUGUGCGGGUGGCACCGCAGGAGGCCACGGGUGUGAGCGGCGAAGAGCAGAUCUACCGGGUGUGGAGCGGCGGCAAUCGACGGGGAAGAUGGAUCCCUAGGAUCUUGGUUGGAAUAAGAGGGUGAGGAUCGGUGCUACUGCCCCCGGAAGGACGCCUUGAGGCAUCGGAAUUGUCCACCGGGAAGAUGAACCUGCAGGCACUUGGUUGGGCUAAGAGGUUUCUGUUUGUUGAGGAGGUGGAUGAGAGCGCGGCUCCAAUGGAUCCGGUUGUCAUGGUUUCGCUCCCGGGCGCCGUCCAGGCGACAGCAACAUGCAAGGGGGCUGGUAGUUCGCCAGCGCUGGCCAUGAGUGUGGACGCACAUAUCUGCGAGGAGGGAAGGGGCGGGAAGGAUAGACACGAGUCGUCGCUGCAGGUAUCGGAAAUGUCCAUGGGUAAGAUGACCCCGCUGCUACCUGGAUGGGCUAAGAUGUCAGUCAGCUCGAAUCCCUUUUGCGGUUUUCCAUUUACUGCACUUUGAAAAUUGAUAUAGUUGCGAAGUUUACAAUUGCAAGCAGAGUGUGAUAGUGGAUUAGAUGGGGGUCGCAUCAAAAUGAUGUAGGAUUAGAAAAAUUGGUAGGCCUCUCAAUGGUUAUAAUGUGCAUUAUGGGCAUGAAUCAACUGGUACAGUCAGCCCAUUUUGGGUGUGGUUUUCAUGGGGUUCAAGGUACAAGACAUUGAAAAUAGAAACAUUCUAUUGUUGGUGCUUGUGAGCGGCGGAAAAGGCAUAUGAAAGCUCAUUAUUGUGGGACGGUUUUAGUUCUUUUCGUGUUUCCUGAGAUGGGCUAGGUGUAGUUGCUGUUCAAUGUGGCUGUUUGGUUCGGAAAAUGUGGUCAGUUGUUAGAUUUAAAUUUUAACAGCUGCAUUUAUGAGGCUGUUGGGUUGGGAAAUGUCUGCAUCUCUUGGAUUUAAUCCCUGUUUCAUGGGGAUGUUGGGUUUGGAAGUGUGGCACAAUUCCUAAGGCAUGGGCACUGCAAUUGCAGGGUGAGGAUAGGCACGGCCGCUCGUUGCAGGAAACCAUGCUCGUCGUGUGUGACUGCAUUUGAGAAAAUUGUAAGGGGGUAUGCAGAGAACCCUUCUGAGAACGUCAUUGUGCCGAUUCUGGGCGCAAGCUUUGAUUCGCUAGGAGAAGCUUAUAAUUUCUGCAACCUUUAUUCCUGGGAGAGAGGAUUUGGAAUAAGGUACAAGAAGAGUAGAGUGAAUGUCGAGAGGAUGAAGGGCAUGCAGGAGAUCGUGUGCGGGUGCUCGGGGAAGGCUGGCGUGGAGAACACUAGGUCCUGCCGGUGUGAGUGUCAUGCGCUGAUCAGAUUACUCAGAUCAGAGGACAAUGAGUGGUACAUCGUUCAGCACAGGAGAAGCACAUCCACUCUCUCUAGCCAAAUUUUGGCAGAAGAUUCAUUGGCCAUCCCACAAACACAUUGAUGUGUACAGUCGUGAGUUGUGACUUGAUCAAGCAGGUGAGGCAGAACAAUGUCAACCUUGCAAAAAAUGUACAACAUUGUUGGGAGUUUUUUCGGGUCAAUGAAGAAUGUGCCGUUUACGAAGAGGUCUCUGAAAAAUCUAUGUGGAAAGAUUAGCUAGGAGCAGGCGAAUGACGAUGUGAGGAAGACAAUGGAAGUGUU